rnacentral:rRNA from 1 species
GACGAACGCUGGCGGCGCGCUUAACACAUGCAAGUCGAACGGAAAGGCCUGCUUUCCCUUGUGGAUUGCGGGUACUCGAGUGGCGAACGGAUGAGUAACACGUGAGUGAUCUGCCCCCAACUUGGGUAUAAGCCUGGGAAACUGGGUCUAAUUCCCGAUAGGACUGCAGGGUGGUGCCUGUGGUGGAAAACGAUUUUCUAGUGGUUGGGGAUGAGCUCGCGGCCUAUCAGCUUGUUGGUGGGGUAAUGGCCUACCAAGGCGGCGACGGGUAGCCGGCCUGAGAGGGUGGACGGCCACAUUGGGACUGAGAUACGGCCCAGACUCCUACGGGAGGCAGCAGUGGGGAAUAUUGCACAAUGGGCGGAAGCCUGAUGCAGCGACGCCGCGUGGGGGAUGACGGCCUUCGGGUUGUAAACUCCUUUCGACCGCGAGGAAGCCACCUGGUUGGAAGGGUGGUGACGGUAGUGGUAGAAGAAGCACCGGCUAACUACGUG